AUGGCACAACACCUUUUCUUCCUAUGCCCUAUUGCCAGAGUCAUCUGGCGAUCGGUGGGAGCGGUCCUGGGCACUGAUCUCUGCCCUAACAAUCUUUGGCAGUAUUACACUUGGUGUUACGUUUAUCUUCCUGAUGGUGCUAAAUUCUAUACUUUCGGUCUCGCUGCCAUUUGUUGGGCAAUUUGGAACAAUCGUAACAGAGCAACCUUUGAGUUUAAGCUUCCUAAAACUCCUUUUGAGGUUGUCUUUUCCGCAUGUGUCUUUAUCACCUACUGGGCAGGCCUCCUGAAGGGAGCAGACCGUGAGGCGAUGGAGCGUGGAGCAGAGAUGCUGAGGUGCAGCACAAGCAACAUGAUGAUGAUCUGCGCAGCUGCGACUGAGGACUCGACGACUACUGGAUAG
rnacentral:rRNA from 1 species